CGGACUCGGGUCACCAUGGCAACGCGGCGGGACCGGAGGCUGCUCGUAGCAGGCGUUCUGGCUGCCGACAUGCUGCCCUCGCCCACAGAGCAGGCCCUGAAUGCCCUGCUGGCUCGCAAGGAGGAGGAGUGGCGAACACUGCAGGCCCAGCACUCCCAGAUGCAGGAGGCAGCCCUGCAGGACGCUCAGCGCCAGCUGGAGGAGGCGCAGGGGAAGCUGCGACGCCUGCGGGAGGACUUUGUCUACAACCUGCAGGUGCUGGAGGAGCGGGACCGGGAGCUGGAGCGCUACGAUGCUGCGUUUGCCCAGGCCCGCGGGCUGGAGGAGGCCAGGCAGGCCGAGGUGAGCGAGCUCAAGAUCGAGGUGGCCAAGCUGAGGCAGGCGCUGGCCGGCGAGGCCCGGCGGGUGGAGGAUCUGCAGCAGCAGUCCCAGCAGAGGCUGCGGGAACACCGCCUGGAGCUGGAGCGGGUCCACAGCGACAGGAACGGCGAGCUGGACCAGCAGCGGGAGCAGUGUGGGAACCUGAAGUGGAGGCUGGAAAGGAGGCUGGAGGAGCUGGGCAGCGAGCUUGCCCUACAGCGGCAGGAGCUGCUCCAGGAGUUUGAAUCUGAAAUGCAAAAGCGGGAGCACGCGUUCCGCCUGCAGGCUGACAGCAUGAGCAAUGUGGUCCUAGCACACGAGCUCAAGAUUAAACUGCUGAACAAAGAGCUCGUGGCCCUGAGAGAGGCCGGGGUGAAGGCUGCGGAGUCCCUGCAGAGCGCCGAGGCGGUGAAUGCGGAGCUGGAGGAUAGGCUGCGGCACAAAGACUGGGAGCUCAGGGACCUGGCUGCCGUGAAGGACGCCCGGAUAAAAGACUUAGAGGGUAAACUUCACUCUGUGCAGCUCACCAGGAAAAAAGAAGAGGAGACGUUUAGGAGGAAGCAUGAGGAGCUGGACCAUCUGGCCAGGGAGAGGGACACGGUGCUGAUGGCAGCGAAGAGCGCCCAUGCGGAGCAGCUGCAGGCGGUAGAGGCCAGGGCCCUGGAGCUGCAGGUGCACUGCGAGAACCUCGAGGUGCAGCUCCGCAAGGCUGAGUGGAGGCAGGCGGACACCACCAAGGAGAAGGACGCCGCCAUUGACAAACUUAGGGAAGAUGCAUCAGCUCUAAAAUCCGGCUGGGAUGCCCAGAUUGCUCAACUUUCCAAGGAGAUGAUCUCCAAAGACCUUCAGGUUCAUUCGCUGCAGGAAGAAGAGGUGAAGCUGAAGGCACAGCUGGCCAGAUGCCAGCAGGACGUUGGAAGGUACAAACAGCAGCUGUCUCUGGCAGUAGAGAGGGAGCAGAGCCUGGAGCGUGACAAGGUGCAGUUGGAGCUGGACUGGCAGCGCCGCUGUGAGGGUGUCGAGCGCGCGCAGUACCAGCGGGCUGAGGACUUGAUUCAGGGCCUAACCAUGGCCAGAGACCAGGUUGCUGCCAAGCUUCAGGAGACAGAGCGGGUGCUAUGUGGCCAGGAGGUGGUGCUGAAGGCUGUGACUCGAGAGAGAGACCAGGCUGUGCAGGCGCUGUGGACACGCGGGCUCCACCCUGAGGAGGAGGCACAGGUGAGGGGCCACCUCCUGCUGAGCCCCCCCACGGCUCUUCCUCCCAAGCCCCUUGGAGACAUCCACUCCCCCAGCCAGAGGGAAAAUAUGCCAAAUAGAGCCAGCACUGGAGGCAGGUCUUUUUAGCCCUAUUUCUUUUAAAAUGACUGUUGGCACAAACAAGGGUGAGGCUGAGCCUCAACCAGUUAACAGGAGUCUACGCUCAAUCUUUGUAUCUUCAGCAUCUGAAAUAUCAAAAACCCCCAAAUUCAGAUAUUGCACCGUGGCAGACAGUAACACAAAGAACCAAGAGGUUAGAGCUUUAUCCCAAAACACACUUCUUCACACGUGGUGAGUAAGCCAUUCAACAUGCGAUGAUGGCCGUUCCUCUCAUAAAGCACAGACUUCCUUACUGCUUUGCACUGGCCAGAGCCUGAUACUGACUAUGGGAUGCCUGCGGGUUGAAUGGUGGCCCCAAAAGACAUGUUCCGGUCUCAGUGCCUCAGGAUGGGACCUUCCUUGGAAAUAGAGUCUCUAUGGAUGGAAUUAGUUAAGAUGACAUCACAUGGGAGCAGGGUGGGCCUAACCCAAUAGGACUGGUGUUCUUAGAAAAGAACACACGUGAAGACAGACACAGGAGGAAGGCCAUGUGAUGACAGAGACAGAGAGCGGAGCCUUGUGUCUGUGGGCCGAGGGGUGCCAAGGACUAGCGCCAGUAAAACCUGAAGCCAGAAGUGGCAGGAUUUGACUCAGAGUUGCAGAGGGGGCAUUUGCUUCCACUGAGGGGGGCCCUUGGCGCAUGCCUAGAGUUUGGCAUUACAGUGAACACAGCCCAUGUCUUGCCUUGCCUCUUGCCUUGUCCCCCGUCCAUCCAGGGCUCCAGAGGGAAGCCCUGUCACCGGGCUGCUAGGAAAUCUGGGCAACCCGCAAGGAGAAGUGCCUUCCAGAGCUGCACCAGCAGAGCUUAGCCCGAGCCUGUCUCAGACAUGACCUUCCUGGUUCAAUGGCCCAUUGUUUCAGUAGUCUGACCUCUGUCCAUUUGUGGAAAGUCACUUACCGGGUCGUCCAGGAUAAUGGAGCCACUGAACUCCUUAGGAUGUUUCCAGGGGUGCUGGCCUCUUCCCACCUGUCCAGCUGCCCACCUGCAGAGGGAGGAUGGAUGUGGCACAAGCUGUGUCUCCAGGCGUCCACCCAGCCCUGCUCGUGCCUGUGUGCGCUCAGCCAGACUGUCGGGAGUGCAGGUGUCUGCGCAGCCCCCAAUCUGGCCACCCUCAGAAACCUCAGGAGCUUCCGAAACACACCCUCUGAGUCCCAGCAGGACCUACUAGGCCCGAUGCCUUAGGCGUUGAGCUCCGAAAGACAAGUCUGUUAACAAGCCCCCAGGGAGAUUGACCGUCAGCCAGUGGUCAGGUUUGGGAACACCGGUGUUCCCAGGAGGAGAGGUGGGGCCAACCCCAGCCUCCAGAGUCACCUGUGGUCCUGGGGGCUCACAGCAGGUGGGUGCCUUCCCUAGGACACAUAGAAAAAACAAAUGCCUCUUUUUUUUUUUUUUUUUUUUUUUAUCUGCAUGGGUGCCUUCCCUAGGACACAU